rnacentral:tRNA from 1 species
GCGUCCGUUGUAUAGUGGUAUUAUGCGAGCCUGCCACGCUCGCGACCCGGGUUCGAAUCCCGGCGGACGCA